AUCUCCACGGUCCAAUUUCUUCUAACGGCUCAUACGCCUGUACGCACCAAGAACGGCUCGUCGUCCACUUUAUCCACCCCCACGAGCAGUAAGUAAACACAGUGGAAGAGAGAGAGACCACCAUUUUCAUGCUUUCAAAGCUCACCUCAGCGGGCUCAGCUCUGUUCCGGUUAGGAUUUCCUCCACCCCAAAGUUACUACCCCCAAACAAUGAGUACCUGCUCGGGCUUCCGAUCCGAACCCAGAACCCUUUCAAUUUCUCACUAAAUCUAUGUUCUAUGGGUUCAACAUCUUCAGGUGGCACAGGUAUUGCUUCAUUGACCAGAGCUGUUUUUGGGCAUAUCACCAACUACUGUAACGAUUACUUAUGUAAAUCUCUUUGACACCAGAGGGCUAGUUAUGGACUGCUUUCGAACUUUUAGUCA